GGACAUAUAAUAUUUCAAUUUCCCUAAUUAAUUAAAAUCUUUUUGGAGGACGUGCCUAUUUUGAUGGAUUUUCUUCCUCCCUUAACCCAAUUUUACUCAAACACUUCCAAUUUUCCUAUCAUUCAUUCUUCUCUUUCGUGAAUUCACUCAAACUCUUCUCAAUUUCGAUACUCCCAGUUCCGGCAAGGGAUCGUUUCCCCGUCCUUCUCCCUGUAUCAGCCGUCUCACUCUCUCUCUCUCUCUCUCGUUCUCACUUUAUCUUCCAAAUUUUCCUUUUAAUUUUCUGAUUUGGGUUGAAUGCUCACGCACAAGGUCGAGACCUAGCUCUUACUCUCAGAGAGUCGCGCCGCCGCUGCCGAGACAAGUUCCGGUGAACGGUUGCUACUCCCUUCUCCUCCGGCGACUUUGGGCCCACGCUCUUGCCUCUCUGUUUUCUCUCGUUUCAGUAUGUGCCGCCUACUGGUAGUCCCCUCUCUGAUUCACUUUUCUCCAACAACUAAUUCAAGCCCUAGCUUUUUUUUCAUCAGAAAAUUCCACCGCCUUCACUGGGGAUUCCGACGAGCCCUAGUCUCUCCCAAAAGAAAGAUGCUGGCUGCAUAUCUCUUCGCCUGGAUUCGCGAUUUCCAUCCCUAGCCUCCACCCGCCGUCGACUUCUCCCACUGCUGGACGGAGCGGAGCAGCCCGCUAUUGCCAGCGCCGUCUCCUGAAGUUGCGUCGCUAUUUGCCACACACCGGCUCCGACAUCGCAGUCGCUCCACCGCCUCACUUCCAAGGGAGUCACCACCGUUGCCAUGGGCGACAUCCUCCGGUUAAACGCCGUUCCUCUUCCUCCGGUCAUCUGUGGCUGGACGUUGGAGCAGGACAGCGUCACCCAUUUGCGGUUCUCACAAGCUCAAGGGGAGUCUCUCACAAACAGGUAAGCUCUCUAAGUAGAAUGUUAAUCUACAGCCCUUAGCUAAACUCUUCUCGCCCUAAUCGAAGAAUCCUAGAUUUUUAUUGAAGUAGGUGAACAAGGGAAUCAAAAUUCUAAACAAGAUUCAUCUCAUUGCUAUGCAAUUCUAGGGGAGAUCGGGUCAAUUUGGUUAGAGCUGGUAAACACCAGGUUAAUGUCUCCCUUAGAAGAGGACUUCAUGAAGUUGCAUUGAUUUAUUUAUUGUGUCUUCCAAGAAACAUUUUAGAAACGCAGUUUGAUAGCUUAUCUGAACUAGAGGAAUAAGCUGGUAAUGUAGAUUGAAUCUCUUCUUUCAUAAAUUCAUAUCAACUGAUGGGAGAUUUUAUAUAUCAGGUUGUUUUUCUUGUGAAAUGACCAAAUUUACUUGGUCUGCAUAAGUUGCACAGAAGAACCUUAUGAAUCAUUGAAGGGUCAGCUGGAGUUACUGUAUGGUCAGAUGAUACUAAUUCUGCCACUUUUCAUGCCUACUCGUGUCUUUCCCUUGCUUAUGCUACUUGUCAAGCUGUGGCUUCCAUCUUACAAAAUGUUGUUGGCUCAGGAGUCUUAUUUGCACUAUUGAAUCAUUGAUGUGCAAACACAAGGUCAUUAGUCUUGUUAACGCCCAAAAAGCAUCUCUUCAUCCUGAUGAUAUACUGUUGCUCUCAACUUUAUCAUGUCCUCUGAAUCUUUCAGACUCAACGUGAUGAGUUGGAGGCAAAAAAAUUUGAGGAGAGAGCAGCACUUGAAGACAAAUACCAGAAGGCAAAUUUUUUUGAGGAGAAAGCAGCACUUGAAGCCAAAUACCAGAAAUUGUAUCAGCCUCUCGUAGAGUGACAUUAUUUCUCUUAUGUACACGUUGGUUGGUUGAUUUAUUCACUUGUUGGAAUAGAGGAGUGGUUUUGUAUGCGACAUAUUCUUCGUUUCUGGAUGCUUUGUUUUCUCGUUACAUCAACUGUGUACUUGUUUCAGUAUUUUCAUUGUAACCUUUAAUUUAUUUUGAAUGUUAGAAUAAGUGUUCCAUA